AGCGCCCAGCUGGAUCCCGGAAUAACCGGUGAAGACGGCUCCCCGGAAUCCCCGCCCCUAGCGGGCUCUCCCGGACCCCCGGCCCGCGCUAGUCUUUGCCAGGAUCCCGCGCAAAGGAUCAAGUCCCAGCUUCCCUUUCCCCACCGAGAGUCUCCAGCGCCAACCGCGGGCCGUCGGGCGGGUCCCUGACCCGCAGUUACUCAGGUAACUCAGGCCUGCGGCGGCGGCGACAGCAGCUGCCCUGCCCCGAUCUCCGGGCCUUGGUGCUGCUCCACUCGCCUCAGUUCUAGAGCUGUCUAAACAGAGGCCCAGGACACGACGUUAGCCUCCCAGGAGCUGCCUGAGGCGACAACAGCCUGACCCGGCUCGGCCCGGGGGCGAGCUCCCAGCCCCCAACUCCCGGCCAGUUCCCAGGCUCCGCCCUCGCGCCUCGCCUGACAACCAAUCGGCUUCCGCCUCUCUGCGGCUUGGGAACCCGCGCGCUUCGUCGCCCAUGCGCAGCGGCCCCUGGUGGGAAAAUCAGCAAACUGCAGACAGGACUCGGCGCUCCUGGGAGGGCCUGCUCUUUUGCAGAGGGUUGCCGAGUGAAGCUAAGACCCGCCCCGGGGGAGGCCCACGAGGGCCACUGGGGCCUGCGAGUGUUUUCUGAGGAAAUGAUGAUGCCAGAAAGCAAAAUGAAAUGUCCAAACCACUCUAGCUAAAAUUCCCCUACACAUUCCUUGAGUCUGGGCUAAAGGGUGCCAUCUGCUUUCCCGACCCCGCCUCCCUUCCCCUCCAAGCUAAGUGGGAUGCCCUCCCUUAGCUCUCACAGCCCUUUUUCCUACCUGCCCUCAAGCUCUCAGCCCUUUAAGGUUUUUCGGUGGGGCCUGUAAAUGCUUCCUCCCUGCAUCUCAUUCUCCCAGCUACCUCUCUGGUGGAGGAGGUGUCAGCGACUUGAGAAUGAGUGCGCCAAAGAAGACAGAGCCACGCCUGAGCCUCCUUCAACAAAGCCUGCACUUCCUGUUCUCUUCUCAAGCGUGCUGUCAGCAGAUCUUGACUGAAACCUCUGUGCCCUACCCUGUCCUUGGCACCAGACGCAGGGGAAAGGAUCAGGCCCAGUCCCUCCUCUGACUGACAGUGCUAAACCAGCUACCUGUUCUGAGCAAGGCCCCUGAAGACUGGGAACACGAAUUUGCCCAACAGCUGCCUGGCUUAAGGGUUAGGCCGUUGAUAUAAAAAUACAUGGCUAAUGUAACCUACUACCACUCUCCCGGCUCUGUUAAGCUCCUGUCACACUAGCCUUCGUUAAGUUCCUAACCACGUCAAACUCAGCCACCUCACAGCCUUUGUAUCUGCUGUUGCUUCUGCAUGAAACACUCUCGCCUGCUCCCAGUUCCUCAUGUAGCUGGUCUCUUACUCUUCCAGAUACAGCUCAAUGUGUCUCCUUAGAAACUUUUACUCUGCCCACCCCUUCAAAAUCAGUCUGUGGCCAAAAUUGGACCAUUACAUCUGUCUGCCCCUCCCCCAACAGAUAGUGAUUGCCACUUUUCAGGUCAGAGACUGUGCCUUAUUCAUCUCUGUGACACUAGGACCCAGCCAUAGACCCUGCACAUAGUAAGUUCUCUGUAAAAGCUGGAUUACAUGAGUUAAUUCACUUGAACACUCAGAUACUAAAAACUAAUACCGGAAUAUUGGAAAAUUGACCAGAACAGUUGAAACCCUACCUAGGUUCUCCUAGACCUAUUCUCUGAGCCAGGGGUCUUAAAUUCAAAUGGCAAAAUGGGCAGGUAGGUAAUUCAAUUAAGAAAAGUAGGUAGGAGUAAUACGGAGUGGUGGGGACUGUGGAGAGCAGGCAGAAAGAUGGGCCUAGUAUUGCUGGAGUGUCAUUAAGAGAAGAUGGGGCUGGGUGCAGUGACUCAUAUCUCUAAUCCCAGCACUCUGGGAGGCCAAAGUGGGAGGAUUACUUGAGCCCAUGAGUUCAAGACCAGCCUGGGAAACACAGUGGGA
rnacentral:lncRNA from 10 species